CCUACGGGCGGCAGCAGUGAGGAAUAUUGGUCAAUGGCCGGAAGGCUGAACCAGCCAAGUCGCGUGAGGGACGACUGCCCUAUGGGUUGUAAACCUCUUUUAUCAGGGAACAAUACCUGCUACGUGUAGCGUGAUGCAUGUACCUUAUGAAUAAGGAUCGGCCAACUCCGUGCCAGCCGCCGCGGUAAUACGGAGGUUGCGAGCGUUUUCCGGAUUUAUUGGGUUUAAAGGGUGCCUAGGCGGUUUUUUAAGUUAGUGGUUAAACGUCGGGGCUUAACCCUGAUGUGCCAUUCAUACUGGAAGACUCGAGUACAGACGAGGUAGGCGGAAUAAGUUGAGUAGCGGUGAAAUGCAUAGAUAUAACGUAGAACUCCGAUAGCGAAGGCAGCGUACCGGACGGCCACUGACGCUGAAGCACGAGAGCGUGGGUAGCGAACAGGAUUAGAUACCCCAGUAGUC
rnacentral:rRNA from 1 species